rnacentral:rRNA from 1 species
AGAGAGAGACAUGCGCGCAUAUCAAUAAGCGGAGGAAAAGAAACUAACAAGGAUUCCCCUAGUAACGGCGAGUGAAGCGGGAAGAGCUCAAAUUUGAAAUCUUAAAGGGUUUCCCUUUACGAAUUGUAGUUUAAAGAAGUGUUUUCUGUUGAGGUUUUGGUAAAAGUUCUUUGGAAUAGGACAUCAUAGAGGGUGAGAAUCCCGUAUUUGACCUUUACUUUCAACUUUGUGAUACACUUUCAAAGAGUCGGAUUGUUUGGGAAUGCAGUCCAAAAUGGGUGGUAAAUUUCAUCUAAAGCUAAAUAUUGGCGAGAGACCGAUAGCGAACAAGUACCGUGAGGGAAAGAUGAAAAGAACUUUGAAAAGAGAGUUAAACAGUACGUGAAAUUGUCAAAAGGGAAGCGUUUGACACCAGUGUUGUUUUUCUGAAAAUCAAUUAAAGAACUGUUUAUGCUAAGCUGUUUAGACUUUAUCAGCUAUCUGUUUAGUUUUGAGCUUUUCUUUAAUGCACUUUUCAGUUAACAAGUCAACAUCAAUUUCUUUUGCUGUAAAAAAGCUUGAGGAAGGUGGCUUGAGAUUCGUCUUAAGUGUUUAUAGCCUCUUGCCUAUGCAGUCGGAGAGAUUGAGGUCUGCAGCGUAGAUCCUUCGGGGCUAAAUGCAUUUGCGCUAAGUUAUAGCAUUUUAUAGACAACUUGUUGACUAUGAUUUGUCUUGUAGCUUACUCGCUUAUGUUAUUUUACCUACGCUUAGGAUGUUGACGCAUGAGAUAUACGC